UACGGGGGGGGCAAGCGUUGUUCGGAAUUACUGGGCGUAAAGGGCCAGUAGGCGGCCAACUAAGUCGGAUGUGAAAUCCCCAGGCUUAACCUGGGAACUGCAUCCGAUACUGGAUGGCUUGAAUUCGGGAGAGGGAUGCAGAAUUCCAGGUGUAGCGGUGAAAUGCGUAGAUAUCUGGAGGAACACCGGUGGCGAAGGCGGCAUCCUGGACCGAUACUGACGCUGAGGAGCGAAAGCCAGGGGAGCAAACGGG
rnacentral:rRNA from 1 species